rnacentral:rRNA from 1 species
UACGGAGGGUGCAAGCGUUAUCCGGAUUCACUGGGUUUAAAGGGUGCGUAGGCGGGCAGGUAAGUCAGUGGUGAAAUCUCUAAGCUUAACUUGGAAAUUGCCAUUGAUACUAUCUAUCUUGAAUAUUGUGGAGGUUAGCGGAAUAUGUCAUGUAGCGGUGAAAUGCUUAGAUAUGACAUAGAACACCGAUUGCGAAGGCAGCUAACUACGCAUAUAUUGACGCUGAGGCACGAAAGCGUGGGGAUCAAACAGG